rnacentral:rRNA from 1 species
UGCCAGCAGCCGCGGUAAUACGGAGGGUGCAAGCGUUGUCCGGAAUCACUGGGUGUAAAGGGUGUGUAGGUGGAACAACAAGUCAGUGGUGAAAGCCUGCGGCUUAACCGUAGAACUGCCAUUGAUACUGUUGUUCUUGAGUACUGGAGAGGUUACUAGAAUUCGUGGUGUAGCGGUGAAAUGCGUAGAUAUCACGAGGAAUACCAGAGGCGUAGGCGGGUAACUGGACAGAUACUGACACUGAGGCACGAAAGCGUGGGGAGCAAACAGGAUUAGAUA